CCCUUAGAUGUUCUGGGCUGCACGCGUGCUACACUGACGCACGCAACAGGUGCCUGCUCCGAGAGGACUGGGUAAUCAUUUGAGUGUGCGUCGUGAUGGGGAUAGAAUAUUGUAAUUAUUACUCUUCAACGAGGAAUUCCUAGUAAGCGCCAGUCAGCAGCUUGCGCUGAUUACGUCCCUGCCCUUUGUACACACCGCCCGUCGCUCCUACCGAUGGGUGAUCCGGUGAAUGAUUCGGACUUCAGCGGCUCCCCUGGGGUGCGCCGGAGAAAGUUUUGUGAACCUUAUCACUUGGAGGAAGGAGAAGUCGUAACA
rnacentral:rRNA from 1 species